GCACCGCCGAGGAGUCCCAUAAUAGGACGAAACGGCCGUCCAAUGC
rnacentral:hammerhead_ribozyme from 1 species